rnacentral:rRNA from 1 species
GGAAUCGAGUGGCAAACGGGUGAGUAACGCGUGGGUAACCUGCCUUAUACAGGGGGAUAACAGUUGGAAACGACUGGCUAAUACCGCAUAAGCGCACGGUAUCGCAUGAUACAGUGUGAAAAAACUCCGGUGGUAUAAGAUGGACCCGCGUCUGAUUAGCUUGUUGGUGAGGUUAAACGGGCCCCACCAAGGCGACGAUCGGUAGCCGGACUGAGAGGGUUUGAACGGCCACAUUGGGACUGAGACACGGCCCAGACUCCUACGGGAGGCAGCAGUGGGGAAUAUUGCACAAUGGGGGAAACCCUGAUGCAGCGACGCCGCGUGGAGGAAGAAGGUCUUCGGAUUGUAAACUCCUGUUGUUGAGGAAGAUAAUGACGGUACUCAACAAGGAAGUGACGGCUAACUACGUG